rnacentral:rRNA from 1 species
CACGUAUUUAGCCGGGGCUUCUUAGUCAGGUACCGUCACUUUUCUUCCCUGCUGAUAGGGCUUUACGCGCCGAGGCGCUCCAUCGCCCACGCGGCGUCGCUGCAUCAGGGUUCCCCCCAUUGUGCAAUAUCCCCCACUGCUGCCUCCCGUAGGAGUUUGGGCCGUGUCUCAGUCCCAAUGUGGCCGCCCACCCUCUCAGGCCGGCUACUGAUCGUCGCCUUGGUGGGCCGUUGCCCCGCCAACAAGCUAAUCAGACGCGGGCCCAUCCCGCACCGCCAAGGCUUUCCGCACCGCCCCAUGCGGGGCUGUGCGCCCAUGCGGUAUUAGCAGCCGUUUCCGGCUGUUGUCCCCCAGUGCGGGGCAGGUUGCCCACGCGUUACUCACCCGUCCGCCACUGGGCGGCGCCGGCUUCACGCCCCGGAGGGCCCCCGCGGCCGCGCCCCGUCGACUUGCAUGUGUUAGGCACGCCGCCGAGCGUUCGAUCCUGAGCCAGGAUACAAACUUCCUCUUGAGACCUGACCCG